rnacentral:rRNA from 1 species
AUUGAACGCUGGCGGCAGGCCUAACACAUGCAAGUCGAGCGGAUGAAGGGAGCUUGCUCCUGGAUUCAGCGGCGGACGGGUGAGUAAUGCCUAGGAAUCUGCCUGGUCGUGGGGGAUAACGUCCUGAAACGGGCGCUAAUACCGCAUACGUCCUGAGGGAGAAAGUGGGGGAUCUUCGGACCUCACGCUAUCAGAUGAGCCUAGGUCGGAUUAGCUAGUUGGUGGGGUAAAGGCCUACCAAGGCGACGAUCCGUAACUGGUCUGAGAGGAUGAUCAGUCACCCUGGAACUGAGACACGGUCCAGACUCCUACGGGAGGCAGCAGUGGGGAAUAUUGGACGAUGGGCGAAAGCCUGAUCCAGCCAUGCCGCGUGUGUGAAGAAGGUCUUCGGAUUGUAGAGCACUUUAAGUUGGGAGGAAGGGCAGUUAGUUAAUACCUUGCUGUUUUGACGUUACCAACAGAAUAAGCACCGGCUAACUUCGUG